rnacentral:rRNA from 1 species
UACGUAGGGGGCAAGCGUUGUCCGGAUUUACUGGGCGUAAAGCGCGUGUAGGCGGCCACGCAGGUCCGUUGUGAAAACUCGAGGCUUAACCUCGAGAUGUCAUCGGAAACCAUUUGGCUAGAGUCCGGAAGAGGAAAGUGGAAUUCCUGGUGUAGCGGUGAAAUGCGCAGAUAUCAGGAAGAACACCAAUGGCGAAAGCAGCUUUCUGGGACGGUACUGACGCUGAGACGCGAAAGCGUGGGGAGCGAACAGG